rnacentral:rRNA from 1 species
UGGGGAAUUUUGGACAAUGGGCGAAAGCCUGAUCCAGCAAUGCCGCGUGUGUGAAGAAGGCCUUCGGGUUGUAAAGCACUUUUGUCCGGAAAGAAAUCCUUGGCUCUAAUACAGUCGGGGGAUGACGGUACCGGAAGAAUAAGCACCGGCUAACUACGUGCCAGCAGCCGCGGUAAUACGUAGGGUGCAAGCGUUAAUCGGAAUUACUGGGCGUAAAGCGUGCGCAGGCGGUUUGCUAAGACCGAUGUGAAAUCCCGGGCUCAACCUGGGAACUGCAUUGGUGACUGGCAGGCUAGAGUAUGGCAGAGGGGGGUAGAAUUCCACGUGUAGCAGUGAAAUGCGUAGAGAUGUGGAGGAAUACCGAUGGCGAAGGCAGCCCCCUGGGCCAAUACUGACGCUCAUGCACGAAAGCGUGGGGAGCAAACAGGAUUAGAUACCCUGGUAGUCCACGCCCUAAACGAUGUCAACUAGUUGUUGGGGAUUCAUUUCCUUAGUAACUAGCUAACGCGUGAAGUUGACCGCCU